rnacentral:rRNA from 1 species
UUUAAAUUGAGAGUUUGAUCCUGGCUCAGGACGAACGCUGGCGGCGUGCCUAACACAUGCAAGUCGAGCGAUGAAGCCCUUCGGGGUGGAUUAGCGGCGGACGGGUGAGUAACACGUGGGUAACCUGCCUCAUAGAGGGGGAUAGCCUCCCGAAAGGGAGAUUAAUACCGCAUAACAUAUUUUGGUUGCAUGACCGAAAUAUCAAAGGAGUAAUCCGCUAUGAGAUGGACCCGCGGCGCAUUAGCUAGUUGGUGAGGUAAGGGCUCACCAAGGCGACGAUG